rnacentral:lncRNA from 1 species
GUGGUAGCCCAUUUGGCGGAGGUGGUGGAAGCAGCAGAGGAAGAAGACAAAGAAGAGGAGAGGAUGUUGUCCACCUUCUCAAGGUUCCUUUGGAGGAUCUGUACAAUGGAACAUCAAAGAAACUGUCACUAUCUCGCAAUAUAUUGUGCCAAAAAUGCGAAGGGAAAUGAUCUAAAUCAGGUGCUUCAAUGAAAUGUUCUGGCUGUUAAUAGGACAUAAUCUAAGAGCUUUCCCCUGAUCAUCGAUUUUGCAUUUCAGGUUUCCUAUAAGGAUCGUGUGUCCUAGAUGAUAAAAGACUCAUCACUCUAUCAUAAUUCUCAACCGCAACAUUGUUAGAUUCUUCUAUUUCUUCCAUUUCACAUCUCUCAACCCCAAAAACCAAAACUUCACUUCCUACUAUUACUAUGCCUCAAUCUCAUACAAGUUGGGAUCGACUAUACGAAUACGCAAUACUUCAUUUAAGCUAAACUCAAACCACACAAAACAAACAAAAACCACCCCCUCAAGAAAAUUGAACAAGAAUUUGGUUCGUUUUAUCAACUUAAUGUCGAUAAAUUUAACAAUCUAGAAAUUCAUUUCAGUCAAUUGAACCAUCUUGAACUGUUCCUUUUCAAGAACCAUCAAAAGGGCAGGAAGUCUAAUUCCUAAAAUCAAAAGAAUUGCCCCCAAAACACAAGAAAAACUACACACACACACCUCAAAAGUAAAAACUCAAGAUAUACAACUUCAAUUAACUUCAAGAUGGGAAAAUUCAGCAUAAAAUUAAAAAAAAAAAAGUAUUUAUCACAAAAUCAUUACCUUCAGUAUCAAUAGUUGUAAAGCCUCUUUCGAUUAUGUAAGAAUUCACCUUCAGUAAUCAGUUUCUCCUCAAUUGAGACGGUAGCAAUAGGGAUGUCCUUGAAUCGGAUGACAAUGGCAAUUUAGACUGUAGCAAUCGGAGUUUCUUGCAACCAUUUCUCUUCAAAAUAGCAAUCAGAGCUUUGGAAAGACAUCAUCAGCAACAAUCCAUUCCCGUAAUUGUGUAUAGCAACAAUUGAGACUUUUCAGUUGAGGGAACCCUAGAUAAUUUGACUCAUAAUCGGUGUUUCUUGCAACCCUAGAUAAUUUUGCCUAAAAAUAUGUUUAUUGUACGUGUGUUUAAUCUUAUUUUUUUUUA